rnacentral:rRNA from 1 species
GACGAACGCUGGCGGCGUGCUUAACACAUGCAAGUCGAACGGGAAGGCCCUGCUUUUUUGGUCUGCUCGGGUGGCGAACGGGUAAGUAACAAGUGAGUAACCUGCCCUUGACUUUCGGAUAACUUCAGGAAACUGGGGGUAAUAAAGGACAGGAGAUCCUGCAGCAUGGUGGGGAUUGGAAAGUUUCGGCGGUUGGGGAUGGACGCGCGGCUUAUCGGCUUGCUGGUGGGGUAGUGGCUUACCCAGGCAUUGACGGGUAGCCGGCCUGGGAGGGUGACCGGCCACAUUGGGACUGAGAUACGGCCCAGUCUCCUACGGUAGGCAGCGGUGGAGAAUAUUGCACAGUGGGCGGAAGCGUGAUGCAGCGACGCCGCGUGCGGGAAGACGGCCUUCUGGUUGAAAACCGCUUUCGCCUGUGACGAAGCGUGAGUGACGGUAAUGGAUGAAGAAGCACCGGCUAACUACGUG